AAGUCGUAACAAGGUUUCCGUAGGUGAACCUGCGGAAGGAUCAUUACAAAUCGGGGGAUGGUGGUGGUGGUUGGUGGUGGUGGUUGAGGGCUAGUUGAGGUAGAUUUGAAGAGUCUAUUUCGAUGAUCUCUACUCUACACCUGCUCCAUACUCCAUACAUUAGCACGAGGGUGGAGUAGUCGUGUGUUUCGAAAGAACCACAUGCUCUCAUUACACCCCCAUGUUUACGCAUGAUUGUUUGACAGAGUUAAGAUUUAUUAUAACGAAUACAACUUUUAACAACGGAUCUCUAGGCUCUU
rnacentral:misc_RNA from 1 species